rnacentral:lncRNA from 1 species
UGUUGUGUGCUUGGAAGCUGAUGUAAGUCCAUCGAGUGGCAUUCGGGUUCCAGUGUGAGUUCGUUUGGUUCGGAUGCUGAUGUAAGUCCAGUGAUUGGCAUUCAGGCUCCACGUUUGCCUCUUGUGUGUGUUUUGGUUUGGAUGCUGAUGUAAGUCCAGUGAUUGGCAUUCAGGCUCCACGUUUGCCUUUGCCUGUGUUUGUUUGUGUGCGUGUUAGCCGAGCUACGGAUGCUCUGAUUCUCCUUCGUCCAGAGGAGAUACGUAUGCAUAGGAUGCGAUAUCCUAGCGAGCAU